rnacentral:rRNA from 1 species
GACGAACGCUGGCGGCGUGCUUAACACAUGCAAGUCGAACGGAAAGGCCCUUCGGGGUACUCGAGUGGCGAACGGGUGAGUAACACGUGGGUGAUCUGCCCUGCACUUUGGGAUAAGCCUGGGAAACUGGGUCUAAUACCGAAUAGGACCACGCGCUUCAUGGUGUGUGGCGGAAAGCUUUUGCGGUGUGGGAUGGGCCCGCGGCCUAUCAGCUUGUUGGUGGGGUAAUGGCCUACCAAGGCGACGACGGGUAGCCGGCCUGAGAGGGUGACCGGCCACACUGGGACUGAGAUACGGCCCAGACUCCUACGGGAGGCAGCAGUGGGGAAUAUUGCACAAUGGGCGCAAGCCUGAUGCAGCGACGCCGCGUGAGGGAUGACGGCCUUCGGGUUGUAAACCUCUUUCAAUAGGGACGAAGCGCAAGUGACGGUACCUAUAGAAGAAGCACCGGCCAACUACGUG